GGAAGGUUGGCAGAGCGGCUGAAUGCUCCGGACUCCAAAUCCGGCGGACGUGUCACAACCACGUCCCGUGGGUUCGAAUCCCACACCUUCCG
rnacentral:tRNA from 1 species